UAAGGAAUAUUGGACAAUGGUCGCAAGACUGAUCCAGCCAUGCCGCGUGCAGGAAGACGGCCCUAUGGGUUGUAAACUGCUUUUGUACCAGAGAAAACCUAUCUACGUGUAGAUAGCUGAUAGUAUGGUAAGAAUAAGCAUCGGCUAACUUCGUGCCAGCAGCCGCGGUAAGACGAAGGAUGCAAGCGUUAUCCGGAUUCAUUGGGUUUAAAGGGUGCGUAGGCGGGCUUGUAAGUCAGUGGUGAAAUCUCUCAGCUUAACUGAGAAACUGCCAUUGAUACUGCAGGCCUAGAGUAUAGAUGANGUUGGCGGAAUAUGACAUGUAGUGGUGAAAUACUUAGAUAUGUCAUAGAACACCGAUUGCGAAGGCAGCUAACGAAACUAUAACUGACGCUGAGGCACGAAAGUGCGGGGAUCAAAC
rnacentral:rRNA from 1 species